rnacentral:lncRNA from 1 species
GAUGCUCAUGUAAACAAGUAUUGUGCCUGGUGGCUCUAUUGGUAUUCUACCUUCUAAGUUACCAACAUAGUUAACCAACUUAUGCAACUGGCUUGACCCACCUGCUUGCUAACUAACCAGAGGGAGGAGGCACUAAACCCCAUUAUGGGGAUGAUAUGAGUAGGAUAACCUACCAGCCUUGCCAAUAAAUAAAUGCAAGUAGGAUCAAACAAG